rnacentral:tRNA from 1 species
UGAAAAGAUGCUGACCUACGCAUUGGGCCGCGGUGUCGAAUACUACGACAUGUGUGCGGUCGAUGCGAUUCAAGCUGAAUUGGAACGUAACGAUUACCGUUUCUCCGCGCUAGUGAAAGCGAUCGUCCAUAGCGAUCCUUUUCAA